UCUAGUUAAAUUAAUACAAAAUUCCUCAACCUUUAAUUUAUAAAGGCUUUAAUAUGUAUUUAUAUAUCCAUUUUUUCAUAUUCUUUAAGAAAAUAGUUAAACACAACUAUGGCAACCACCCAUCUAUCCUCCGACAAUGUAGAUGUCACAGAAGCAUCAAAGAGCAAAGAUCAAGGGUUGCCACAAGCAACGGGUAACGAACGUAGCAUGUAUGUGUCCUUAUCAAAUGAUGAACAAAAGGAUAAACAUGACAUCGUCAGGCAGGUUGAGCAGCUGCACAAGCCUGAUGGUAGUAAUGUUAAUGCCAAGCCCAUUUCUCUUUUUGUUAAGCGUAUUCUUGAACCCGCACCUGCCUCUCAAACUGUAGAAGCAGCUUCACAGGAUACUCCGCCGAGCAUCUAUGACAGUCUACCAGAAUUCUCUGACAUGCCAAUUAUUGCCGGAAAGGUAGCAAGUGAGAUAGCCUGCAAGGUCGUGAAUGAUGAGGUUGAUUCACACACCACCACCCUUUCUGUGCUGAAUGUAUUGCAAAAGUUUUCUUGGGAAUCAAAGGUGGCUCUAACGGUUGCAACUUUUGUAUUGACCUUUGGAGACUCUGGGUUCAACUUGACAGCAGAAUCCAGGACCAACGUUGAUAAAUCACCAUUGUUCAAUGAGCAUGAGUUCGAACCCACAAAAAGUCUAAUCGAUGCCAUGGUCGAUGCAACUAAUUGCAUUGCUGAUUUCGAAAAUUUACCCACAUCAUUUUUCACUUCGGAAGAUCCAAAAAUCAAGAAUGCUAAUACUGAUUUUCUAGUUGCUGUCUAUUUGGUUGUCAGAGCUGUUGUUACUGCUGCAGCCCACAAUAUCACAAUGUCAAGUAGGGGAGUCAAAUUUUCUACCUUAAAUCGUAUGGAGCUUUUCGACUGGGCUACGAAGCUAAAACGUAUUAGUGAUGAUCUGAAGAACAUGUUGCCUGAAUUAACUAAACUUCUAGAGGAAGACGUAGACAUGGAGGCUUAUAAUUUGGUUAAGGAAGCUGUACUAAAAGAAAAACACAUUGACAACAUGAAAGUUCUUAAUGCCCUUAUUUCAGGCAAAGAUAACUCACAAUUGUAUGAUUGCCAGGUUCAUAGAAAGGUCCAUCUUGAGGUGUUGAAAGGACAAAAUGUGUUAUUACUCAUAUCAGACCUGGAUAUCCCUACUUAUCCUAUACAAUGUAUGACAAAAAUUGCUUCAUUAGAUUAUUCUCGGUACAAGGUUGUCUGGAUUCCUGUUGAUCAAACUGAAGCCAUAGACGAAUCUAAGUUUUCGAGUCAGAAAGAAAAGAUGCCCGGCUACUCUGUUAACCACCCUAGGAUGAUAAAAAAUGCAGUUAUUUAAGUUUCUCAAAAAAGAAUGGGAGUUUAAGGGUGAUCCUAAUGUUGUGGUGUUGGAUCCUCAAAGAAAUGUUUUACAUCAAAAUGCGAUGCACAUGAUACACAUUUGGAAAUCUGAGGCAGUCCCGUUCACAAAUUCAAGGGAGGAGACCCUGUGGAAGGAGCAACGUUCGAGCCUUGAUAUGUUGUUUGGUUAUUACGCUAAACAAAUAUUUGGCGAUUUGCAUGGCAUGUAUAAGCAAGUACCCUUGCGAAACAGCAAGGACACUUUCAUCGGAUGGCAACAAAUGCUAUUUUAUAUAUGGAGGUGAUAAUAAAGACUGGAUCCUGAGAUUAUUAGGCGCAGUAGGUGAAGUUGAACAUUGGGGAUAUAUAAUGAAUAAGGUCGUCCAAGUAGGGAGAAAUGAGGAUAAUUAUAUAAAAUGGAGGGUUUUAUAUGAAGGGUACCCAAAACAGUUUAAAGUUGAAGACAGUUAUUUUUGGGUUAGAAUAGAGAGCAUGAUAUCCUCUUUGAGAAAUCACACGAAUGUAGGUGACCAUGCUUUUGUCAUUCUACAAGACCUUCAAAGGUUGUUUCACUAUGAAAAAUCCAAUGUUGGCUGGGUAAUAGUAUGUGAUCUAUUUGCCUGGGUCAUAGGGCAUGGCGGAGUGGCAUUGUCUACCCUUGAAGAUUUUGAGCUUUGGAAAGAAAAUGCGUCCGAAAAAGCGUUUGAGGUAGCAUUUGAAAGUCAUUAUCGUAAGCGUUAUCAACAGGAAUUUCCUUACCGACGUAUUGAAUUCCCAGCUCCUGCCAAGCCUUCUAAAACUAUGGUUUGCCCUGAUUGCAAUGCCCAAAUGGAAAGCUACAACACUUUCUUAUGCUACCACCCAUCUUCAAGCAAGAAUUCAGGAAUAUAAAUUACAUUAUAAUACACAGCUUUUAUGGAUUCUAUUUCACCAUCUUUGUAUCACUAACUUAUAAUGUUUCUACUCCAUGUUUUCACCUUAUGUAUUGCCAUUACUCUUUAUGUAUCUAUAAAUUACUUUUAUUUUCCUUUUUGUAAAAUGAUGCGACUCAAGUUGAGUGUU